UACGUAGGGGGCAAGCGUUGUCCGGAUUCAUUGGGCGUAAAGAGCGUGUAGGCGGCCAGGUAGGUCGGUUGUGAAAACUGGAGGCUCAACCUUCAGAGGUCGACCGAAACCAUCUGGCUAGAGUCCGGGAGAGGAGAGUGGAAUUCCUGGUGUAGCGGUGAAAUGCGCAGAUAUCAGGAAGAACACCCGUGGCGAAAGCGGCUCUCUGGAACGGUACUGACGCUGAGGAGCGAAAGUGUGGGGAGCGAACAGG
rnacentral:rRNA from 1 species